AUUCCUUUCUGUGCAGGAAAGACGGCUAUGGGAGCCAAGAAAGACAUAGUUGUUGACAUCUUUCUAAUGGUUGGACUGGAUGAUCCUAUGGGUCUUUUCCAACCUUAGCGAUUCUAUGAUUCUAUGAGACCUCAGCUCAAGGCCAGCGCUGUUUGCAGAACCGUGAAGCAAGCAGCAAGUCCAAACGCUGCAGCUAGGUGGCAAUCCAGGAUGAGGAUAAGGACGACGCACAGAAUCCGAGAGAUACUUUUAUUUCUUACGAAAGAUGGCAGCGUUAAAAACUGCAGCAGUGUUAAAAAUAGGUGGUACCCAGUCACAGCAGAACGACCAGCAUGAAGAACUUGAGUGGGAAAAAGGAAAACACCUUCUGCAUGGCCAUUAGUCUGUCCAUGCUCCUCCUGGCACGAGAAAGGUCCAACUCUGCAUUUAGAGGAAGCAGAGCAGAGCAAGAACUGCUGCCCAUGUAACUGACUGCUGGGCUAUUUCUGGAUCUCUUGUUUAGUGCUAAUAAACCCCAAAGCUUUGAAGCUAGGAUUUCACCCAGAUGGGAAGAGGAAAAUAUUUGAACUAUCACAAAUAUUUACAUGGAUGGAAACUGUAGAGCUGUCAUUGUAACUGCAGCUCUCCAUUCACCUGCCUUAAAAGGUGCCUUUCCCUUUGCUGUCAAGGGGAAGCUUUCUGCAUGUCUCCAAGCAACUUGUCAGGCACCAGCCUACACUUGUCAGGCACCAGCCUACAAGCAGGGAAACCUUACAGCACUGCUGAGACAUGUGCAGAUAUUGGUCCUUUGUUUUAAUACACAAGGUUCGUGUGAGGAGGGAGGGAGGAAGGAAGGAAGGAAGAAAGGAAGAAGGGAAGGAAAGAGGGAAAGAAGGGAGGGAGGGAGGGAGGGAGGAAGGAGGAAAGGAAGGAGGAAAGGGAGGGAGGGAGGGAAGGAGAGAAGGAAGGAAGGAAGAAAGGAGGGAAGGAGGGAAGGAAGGAAGGAAGAUUUAGUAGCCCAUACUCUCAUGAACAUGCUUGCUUUUGGUGUGGAAUGAUUUCCACCAAUUGGUACUUCCAGCAUCAUCCAUGGGAUCAGAAUCUGCUCAGCACCUCUGCACACAACCACGGUGGUAAUGUGAAGGAGGAUCUGCACUGUCAAAACACACAUAACAACAUUUCUCAGUGGUGCAUUACUGGAGAAAAAUAAACAGACAUGGAAA
ensembl:lncRNA